UCUGGUGGUGAUAGCGGAGGGGCAACACCUGUCUCCCAUCUCGAACACAGAAGUUAAGUCCUCCAGCGCCGAUGGUAUUGUAGGGGCAGCCCUGCGAGAGAGUAGGACGCUGCCAGAU
rnacentral:rRNA from 1 species